rnacentral:tRNA from 2 species
GGGCCCGUAGCUCAGUUUGGAUAGAGUACUUGGUUCCGGACCAAGAUGUCAGGGGUUCAAAUCCCCUCGGGUCCG